rnacentral:rRNA from 1 species
CGGGUGAGUAAUGCGUGACCAACCUGCCCCAUGCUCCAGAAUAGCUCUUGGAAACGGGUGGUAAUGCUGGAUGCUCCAACUUGACGCAUGUCUUGUUGGGAAAGUGUUUAGUGGCAUGGGAUGGGGUCGCGUCCUAUCAGCUUGUAGGCGGGGUAAUGGCCCACCUAGGCUUCGACGGGUAGCCGGCCUGAGAGGGCGGACGGCCACAUUGGGACUGAGAUACGGCCCAGACUCCUACGGGAGGGCAGCAGCA